rnacentral:rRNA from 1 species
GACGAACGCUGGCGGCGUGCCUAAUACAUGCAAGUCGAACGCAGUGGGGACGGGUUAGUAACACGUGGGUAACCUCCCAUCAGAGGGGAUAACACUUGGAAACAGGGUCUAAACCGAUACCGAUGGAUGGACCCGCGGUGCAUUAGCUAGUUGGUGAGGUAACGGCUCACCAAGGCCACGAUGCAUAGCCCACCGGAGGGGCGUAUGGACCAAACGGGGACUGAGAAUCGGCCCAGACUACUCCGGGCGGCGGCAGUAGAGAAUGUGGGGCAGUGGACGAAAGUCUGCCCGAUCAACGCCGCGUCAGUGAGGAGGGUUUUCGGAUCGUAAAACUCUUUUGUUAUUGAAGCGGUAUCUUGCCAGAAUGCCACGGGUGACUACGUGCCAGCAGCCGCGGUAAUUC